AACACGUUCUGAGAGCAUUAGUAGAAAGGUCGACUUCGGAAGAAAUUUCUCUUUGCUAGCAUGUCUAUCAAAUGGUGCUUACUGCUAUUUAUUGUGUUCCAUGUUUUGCCACGCGAAUCAGCGACUCAAGGAUCAGGAGACGCCGCAGGGAUUUGGUCUGACGACUCGGAUUUGAACCUAACAUCCAAUUAUAAUACGCAUAAAAACUCAAAUCUUGUUAAUAACCUCGCAGCGAAUAAUCUAACAAGAAACGCUUCGGACUUUCACUACAUUGCGCGCGAUGAUCACGAAGUUGUACACAAUGUAAGGCGGCAAAUGCGACGACUUUCGCGCAAGCGAGGAGCAAAGUUCUGUUGGGAUCGAUGUUUGCGUACGGUGAAGUGCUUUGAACAGAUGGAACAAAGACCAAAAUCAGUGAAGGGCAAAUGCAAAGUGUGCAUAAAAAAGUGUUCGAAAUUUCUUUCCUCUACUAUUGGAUCCUGAACACAGGCUUUAGGCGAAGUAAAACAAGAGAAUCUCAAUCAAAGAUCAUGUUAGAGGACAAAGUAAAAUAUUGUACAACACAUACUGUAAAUAUUCUUAAGACUUUGCUGUUUAGAGUAAUAAUACGCCGAUCUCUCUACGUACAUCCAAACUGCGAGUAAGAUACUCUUGUAGGACCUUUCCUAAAUAUACCCGCAAGAGGGGUCCUGGGGUUGUUGUGGGUGGGGGAAGGGGGGCGACAGUCUUCAUAUCGAUAAUACAUUAGCAAGGAUGACUUUCUGUAUCAAAUUUAUGACUCGUAAAAUAUAUUCAUGAAAAAAUCGGCGGCAUGCUGUACUUGUGCAGUUAUAUGUAACUGAUAGUGACCACUAGAAUAAAUAACGAACUUCCUUAA